GCCGCCGCGGUAAUUCGUAGGGUGCUAGCGUUAUCCGGAUUUACUGGGCGUAAAGGGUGCGUAGGUGGUCUUUCAAGUCGGUGGUUAAAGGAUACGGCUCAACCGUAUUAAGCCUCCGAAACUGGAGGACUUGAGUGCAGGAGAGGAAAGUAGGAAUUCUCAGUGUAGCGGUGAAAUGCGUAGAUAUUGGGAAGAACACCAGUAGCGAAGGCGGCUUUCUGGACUGCAACUGACACUGAGGCACGAAAGCGUGGGUAGCAAACAGGAUUAAAUACCCUGGUAGUCCACGCCGUAAACGAUGAGUACUAGGUGUCGGGGGUUACCCCCCUCGGUGCUGCAGUUAACGCAUUAAGUACUCCGCCUGGGGAGUACGCACGCAAGUGUGAAACUCAAAGGAAUUGACGGGGACCCGCACAAGUAGCGGAGCAUGUGGUUUAAUUCGAAGCAACGCGAAGAACCUUACCUAAGCUUGACAUCCCUUGGACCGGUAGUUAAUCCUACCUUCCCUUCGGGGCCAAGGUGACAGGUGGUGCAUGGUUGUCGUCAGCUCGUGUCGUGAGAUGUUGGGUUAAGUCCCGCAACGAGCGCAACCCUUGUCUUUAGUUGCCGGCAUUCAGUUGGGCACUCUAGAGAGACUGCCAGGGAUAACCUGGAGGAAGGUGGGGAUGACGUCAAAUCAUCAUGCCCCUUAUGCUUAGGGCUACACACGUGCCACAAUGGGUGGUACAGAGGGUUGCCAAACCGUGAGGUGGAGCUAAUCCCUUAGAGCCAUUCUCAGUUCGGAUUGUAGGCUGAAACUCGCCUACAUGAAGCUGGAGUUACUAGUAAUCGCAGAUCAGAAUGCUGCGGUGAAUGCGUUCCCGGGUCUUGUACACACCGCCCGU
rnacentral:rRNA from 1 species